UAUCUCUGUAGAGUCUGCAUAUCAAUAAGCGGAGGAAAAGAAACUAACUAGGAUUCCCUCAGUAACGGCGAGUGAAGCGGGAAGAGCUCAAAUUUGAAAUCUUCAAGGUUCUACCUUGACGAAUUGUAGUUUAAAGAAGUGUUUUCUGUUGGUGUUUUGGUAAAAGUUCUUUGGAAUAGGACAUCAUAGAGGGUGAGAAUCCCGUAUUUGACCAGUUAUUUUCCAGCUGUGUGAUACACUUUCAAAGAGUCGGAUUGUUUGGGAAUGCAGUCCAAAAUGGGUGGUAAAUUUCAUCUAAAGCUAAAUACUGGCGAGAGACCGAUAGCGAACAAGUACCGUGAGGGAAAGAUGAAAAGAACUUUGAAAAGAGAGUUAAACAGUACGUGAAAUUGUCAAAAGGGAAGCGUUUGACACCAGUGUUGUUUUCUCGAAAAUCAAUUAAAAAUGGUGGGAUUUUGUGUUGUAUUGACUUUAUCAGCUUUCUGCACUUUUUUCCUGUCUUUUUUAAUGCACUUUUCGUUUAACAAGUCAACAUCAAUUUCUUUUGUUGUAAAAGGGUCAUUGGAAGGUGGCUUUCUUUUCGGAGAAAGUGUUUAUAGCCUUUGACUUCUGCAAUCGGAGAGAUUGAGGUCUGCAGCGUAGAUCCUUCGGGGUUAGAUGCAUUUGUGCUAAGUUAUAGCCUUUCAUAGACAACUUGUUGACUAUGAUCAGUCAUGUAGCUUACUCGCUUAUGUUAUUUUACCUACGCUUAGGAUGUUGAUCUCUCACAGUCGAGC
rnacentral:rRNA from 1 species